UACCGAGUUUACAACUCCCAAAACCAAAUGUGAACGUUACCAAACUGUUGCCUCGGCGGGAUCUCUGCCCCGGGUGCGUCGCAGCCCCGGACCAAGGCGCCCGCCGGAGGACCAACCAAAACUCUUUUUGUAUACCCCCUCGCGGGUUUUUUAUAAUCUGAGCCUUCUCGGCGCCUCUCGUAGGCGUUUCGAAAAUGAAUCAAAACUUUCAACAACGGAUCUCUUGGUUCUGGCAUCGAUGAAGAACGCAGCGAAAUGCGAUAAGUAAUGUGAAUUGCAGAAUUCAGUGAAUCAUCGAAUCUUUGAACGCACAUUGCGCCCGCCAGUAUUCUGGCGGGCAUGCCUGUCCGAGCGUCAUUUCAACCCUCGAACCCCUCCGGGGGGUCGGCGUUGGGGAUCGGCCCUCCCUUAGCGGGUGGCCGUCUCCGAAAUACAGUGGCGGUCUCGCCGCAGCCUCUCCUGCGCAGUAGUUUGCACACUCGCAUCGGGAGCGCGGCGCGUCCACAGCCGUUAAACACCCAACUUCUGAAAUGUUGACCUCGGAUCAGGUAGGAAUACCCGCUGAACUUUAGCAUACAAUAAGGGGGGAAAGAAAUUU
rnacentral:sRNA from 1 species